rnacentral:rRNA from 1 species
AUUGAACGCUGGCGGCAUGCCUUACACAUGCAAGUCGAACGGCAGCACGGGAGCAAUCCUGGUGGCGAGUGGCGAACGGGUGAGUAAUAUAUCGGAACGUGCCCAGUCGUGGGGAUAACGUAGCGAAAGCUACGCUAAUACCGCAUACGAUCUAUGGAUGAAAGCGGGGGAUCGCAAGACCUCGCGCGAUUGGAGCGGCCGAUAUCAGAUUAGGUAGUUGGUGAGGUAAAGGCUCACCAAGCGACGAUCUGUAGCUGGUCUGAGAGGACGACCAGCCACACUGGGACUGAGACACGACCCAGACUCCUACGGGAGGCAGCAGUGGGGAAUUUUGGACAAUGGGCGCAAGCCUGAUCCAGCAAUGCCGCGUGCAGGAUGAA